rnacentral:rRNA from 1 species
AACAAACGCUGGCGGCGUGCCUAACACAUGCAAGUCGAACGCGAAAAGCAGUGAUGCUGAGUAGAGUGGCGCACGGGUGAGUAACACGUAACUGACUUGUCUCCGAUAUCGGGAUAACCACUCGAAAGGGUGGCUAAUACCGGGUAAGCCCACGCCCUUGGGGGUGCGGGAAAAGGAUUGGGACCUGAAUAAGGCCAAUCGAUGGGAGAGAGGGUUGCGGCCCAUCAGCUAGUUGGCGGGGUAACGGGCCCACCAAGGCGAAGACGGGUAGCUGGUCUGAGAGGAUGAUCAGCCACACUGGAACUGAGACGCGGUCCAGACUCCUACGGGAGGCAGCAGUGGGGAAUCUUGCGCAAUGGGCGAAAGCCUGACGCAGCAACGCCGCGUGGGUGAUGAAGGUCUUCGGAUCGUAAAGCCCUGUCGGAGGGGAAGAUGUGUUUCAUUUUGAAUAGAGAUGAGAUGUGACGGUACCCUUAAAGGAAGCACCGGCUAACUCUGUGCC